rnacentral:rRNA from 1 species
UUAAGCAUAUCAAUAAGCGGAGGAAAAGAAACCAACAGGGAUUGCCUCAGUAACGGCGAGUGAAGCGGCACAAGCUCAAAUUUGAAAUCUGGCCCUCUCAGGGUCCGAGUUGUAAUUUGUAGAAGAUGUUUCGGGUGUGGCCCCGGUCUAAGUUCCUUGGAACAGGACGUCAUAGAGGGUGAGAAUCCCGUAUGUGACUGGGUGCCUAUGCCCAUGUGAAACUCUUUCGACGAGUCGAGUUGUUUGGGAAUGCAGCUCAAAAUGGGUGGUAAAUUUCAUCUAAAGCUAAAUAUUGGCCAGAGACCGAUAGCGCACAAGUAGAGUGAUCGAAAGAUGAAAAGCACUUUGGAAAGAGAGUUAAACAGUACGUGAAAUUGUUGAAAGGGAAGCGCUUGCAAUCAGACUUGCGCCUGGGCGAUCAUCCGGGGUUCUCCCCGGUGCACUCGUCCAGGCUCAGGCCAGCAUCGGUUUCUGUGGCUGGAUAAAGGCCUUGGGAAUGUGGCCCCUCUCGAGGGGUGUUAUAGCCCUCGGUGCAAUGCAGCCUACGGGGACCGAGGACCGCGCUUCGGCUAGGAUGCUGGCGUAAUGGUUGUAAGCGACCCGUCUUGAAACACGGACCAAGGAGUCUAACAUCUAUGCGAGUGUUUGGGUGUCAAACCCAUCCGCGUAAUGAAAGUGAACGGAGGUGAGAACCCUCAAGGGUGCAUCAUCGACCGAUCCUGAUGUCUUCGGAUGGAUUUGAGUAAGAGCAUAGCUGUUGGGACCCGAAAGAUGGUGAACUAUGCGUGAAUAGGGUGAAGCCAGAGGAAACUCUGGUGGAGGCUCGCAGCGGUUCUGACGUGCAAAUCGAUCGUCAAAUUUGCGUAUAGGGGCGAAAGACUAAUCGAACCAUCUAGUAGCUGGUUCCUGCCGAA